AUGCUUGCUUCGGCAGCACGUAUACUAGAGUUGGAACAAUACAGAGAGGAUUGGCAUGGCCCCUGCGCAAGGAUGACACGCAGAUUCGUGAAGCGUUCCAUAUAAAA
ensembl:snRNA U6 U6 spliceosomal RNA